ensembl:lncRNA
GUACAUCAAUAGAGUGAUAAGAAGAAAACGCUCUCCGGUGCUGUGCUCUGUAAAUAUCACAAAUCACACAGUGGGAACCUGCGAGCAAGGCACACACUUCCACGCCGGUCAAUCUCAUUAGCGCGAACGUGAUGCGUAUGUGUUGUCAUGGAAGGUGAGGACGUUUUACCGUCUAGGGAACAUCAGAAAAUGUGAAAAUGAAUUUCGUUCCUGACCAAAAUUUGAUGUUAUAGACUCAAAAAAAUGAAGAAUAAAGACUAUAUAGACAGAAAAUACAAUUUUUGUUAUUACUAUUUUUUUUUUUUUCCAAUUCUGAAUGAAUAGUCCUAGACGUCUCGUCUCGUCUGUGCUGUCGUGUCAGGUUUUGUAACUUCUCGGAUACGGAUUUAUAUUUUUCCUCGGAGCACUGAAACCUAAUCUGUUGUGAAAUUGUUGAUACUGCUCAACGUGACAAAACGACCCCCCCCCCAGGAGUAACGAUUCACUUUAUAUGAGCCCUUAGGCAAAUUGACGUUGUGCCGAUCGUACACGCGCCAAACGGGCUCGUUUCCAGGCUCUACGUUUCACUAAACACUAUAAAGAUGAAUGUUAGUGCAGUCUUGGUAAGAACAUACUGUCACUCUGCUGUAACAUACGUAAUGAAUAUGCAACGGAUUGCAGAUACUAAAGCGGUGAUCAAAUAUACUGGUGGUGUAUUUGACGUGAUUGAGGUUUACGUCCAGCUUUGAGUAAUGUUUUUUGUUAUUCUUUUCCCCCACACUGUGUUAACCAGGUAGUAAAAAAAAUCACAGCCAACGUAUUUCGAGGAAUGAAAAUGAAUUAGGCAAACGAACAGAGUUGUUCCCUGGUAAUCAUUUUAAAAGUUCUGCUGCCAGUAAAUAAAAUGCAGAGUGCUCAGAUAUGAAAUGAAGCUCUUCGGACAAAAGAGAACCCACUUUCGUUAGCGUGGAAGAGUACGGGGUGCUCACACUGAGCUGCACACGGAGCUGCGCACGGAGCUGCUGGUGUUGGUUGGGGGUUGGUCAGAAUUCCUUCAGGAGGAGAGGAGAGGUGGGGUUUUUUGGUCAGAAUUCCUUUGGGAGUGAGUGGGACUGGUCAAAAUGUGAUCAUUUUAUUUGAUUUCUAUUGUUCUUUUAAUAAUACAGUCACAAAGCAGCUUUACAGGGAUUAGUCAGAGUUCCUUUGCGAGAAGGCAGGAUUGGUCAGAAAUCCGUCUUGAGAGGUGGGAUUAAUCAGAAUUCCUUUAUGAGAGCAGGUGGGAUCAGUCAGAAUUCCUUUACGAGAGCAGGUGGAAUCAGUCAGAAUUCCUUUACGAGUGCAGGUGGGAUCAGUCAGAAUUCCUUUACGAGAGCAGGUGGGAUCAGUCAGAAUUCCUAUGGCAGAGCAGGUUGGAUCAGUCAGAAUUCCUUUGCGAGUACAGGUGGGAUCAGUCAGGAUUCCUAUGGCAGAGCAGGUGGGAUCAGUCAGAAUUCCUUUGCAAGAGCAGGUGGGAUCAGUCAGAAUUCCUUUGCAAGAGCAGGUGGGAUCAGUCAGAAUUCCUUUGCAAGAGCAGGUGGGAUCAGUCAGAAUUCCUUUGCAAGAGCAGGCGGGAUCAGUCAGAAUUCCUUCAAGAGAACGUGGGAGCAGGAUUUAAAAAAAAGAAAGGAAAGAAACAACAGUUUAAUGCACACCUCUACACCAUAGUAACUCAUGCGGCGUGUUUUGUAUCAUUAUCCUGCAACAUGAAGUGACCUCAAGUUUAGAGUUUGUUUAUUAUUCGAUAUUUGGCCUUUUUAAUGGGGGAAGUCCUUAGAUCAUUUUUUGUGUAAUUUGAGAGUGUUUUUUUCAUUCUAGAACAUGAUGACCUGCUUUACUUUCACUUUUUAUUUUAUUUUUUUCCUGCUGCGGAUAAACAGCAACAGAACCCGGAUUCACGCGUCACUUCUAGAGUCUAGGUCUUGUUUUAAGCUCUGUUGUACACGAACAGACUGUACACUGACGCACAACUAGCCAAAAUACCACCACCAAACCAAAUGUACAUUUCCUUUUGAGUCUCCUGAAAUAAACUGAGUGUAC